rnacentral:rRNA from 1 species
GACGAACGCUGGCGGCGUGCUUAACACAUGCAAGUCGAACGGAAAGGCCCUGCUUUUGUGUGUUGCUCGAGAGGCGAACGGGUGAGUAACACGUGAGUAACCUGUCCUUGACUUUGGGAUAACUUCAGGAAACUGGGGCUAAUACCGGAUAGGAUCUCCUGCUUCAUGGUGGGGGUUGGAAAGUUUCGGCGGUUGGGGAUGGACUCGCGGCUUAUCAGCUUGUUGGUGGGGUAGUGUCUUACCACGGCUUUGACGGGUAGCCGGCCUGAGAGGGUGACCGGCCACAUUGGGACUGAGGUACGGGCAAGACUCCUACGGGAGGCAGCAGUGGGGAAUAUUGCACGAUGGGCGGAGGCCUGAAGCAGCAACUCCGCGUGCGGGAUGACGGCCUUCGGGUUGUAAAACGCUUUGGCCGGUGACGAAGCGUGAGUGACGGUAAUGGGUAAGGAAGCACCGGCUAACUACGUG